rnacentral:lncRNA from 1 species
CAGAAUCAUGCAAACCUUUACUCAAAUUUGGAGGGCAGGAAAGCUACCUGAACAAUUGGCUGGUGAUUUUUUGAGGUAUUUUCUUGAUCCCAUUCAUGAAAUCCUUUAUGAUUUGCUUUGACUUCCUCUGAAAUUUUACCUGACAAAACAGCUCUAUCAAUUCGCUGAGUUAUAUCUUCAUACAUCUCCUGCCCAAAAAUGAAAAAAAAAGUCAGUUGUCAUGCCAAAUGCUGAGCACUAGGGGUAGACUGCGCUUAACAUUAAGCAUCUUAUCUAGUCACAUGUGUGUGUCAUGCCGUUCCCUGUGUAAUAGCCAUUUGAUUACAUGUGUUAAAGAAAAUAUGUUUGGAAAAUCUGCUUACCCUGAUAAGUGACCAUUCCUUUGGGCUGCACAAAUCUUGAUGCCCAUCUGACUCUGAGAAGUAAGCGGCUGGUGACCUUGGCUCAAUGUUAUAUCUCUUGCAGAAUGGUAUCCAAUGCUUUGCAAAUAAGGAGGCCUCCCACAGAGCAUAGAAAGUGAGAAUCGAACCUCCGUCGUCAGAAAGGUACACACUAAUUUUUUCGGCUGGGUAAUUGUAUGCCAUGAGCGAUAGGAUGGUGGAGAUGACAAGACUUGGUGGCUCUGAGUGUGGAUCUGCGGUGCAUACAAAGAUAUCCACAUAAGGUAGCCUCUCUCCAUACCUUCUCCAAAUGACAUAGUAACUGUGUUAAUGCUCAGUGCGGGAAAUACAUGUUUUAAAGCAGUAGAACCUUACACUUGACACUCUUAUAAACCUUCAAAACAAGUCCCUACUUUGGAUCUUGUUUUGGCAGAAAUGAGUCUGAAGUACUCACUCCCUGGUUUAUGGGUUGAGCGUUUAAGGGUGUCUCGAAAUCUAAACAGAUGACGGAGAUGGACCCUUUAAACCGCAAAAAUAAUAAUAUUGAUAUAGGUCCCUUACACCCAUGUGUCUUGAAAUCUAAACAGAUGAUGGAGAUGGACCCUUUAAACCGCAAAAAUAGUAAUAUUGAUAAGCCCUUUAAACCACCACUUUUUUUUUCUUGAGAUAAGCCCUUUAAACCGGAAAGGAGGGAGUAUCUACCUUCUUUUCUAUAGAAAAGGCCUCUCAGUCUAGCUUAUUAAUUUACCUUCUAAGUUAGUGAUCUCUGAUCAUCAAUGUAAGCCCUGUGGCGGUGGCAGAACUAUAAACCUGUGAUGUCAACUAUAAUUACUCCCCAAAUCUUAUAGUAUUUCUGAAUUUAUCCAUGAAAUUUUACUUGUACAUUUAGACGGUUUUGAUCAAAAGCUGUGUAGUCAGUUGACUACACAACCAUAGUGUGGCUUAACCCUUUGUACAGCUGACAACGGUGUAAAACUGCCUCCUAGGAGGAUGUAAAUUCCCUAUCUUUCCAAUGCAAUGAGACGCAAAGGCCAUUUGCGUUUUCUCGAAAAAAGCAUCAAACUUUUGUCUAAUUUGUUAACAGAAAGACAGUUCUGUUAUCUGGCCCGCGUAGCUUUAAAGCUAGCCUAAUGUAGAUUCUCAGUGCACUUAGUGUUGUGUGGUCUGAAACUCAUAGGCUACCAUCUCGUUGAAGUACAACAUAUUAAGAAAUAAGAAUAACGCAGAAGAUAACUAAAUUUAAACUGCAAAAAUAUCUUACAUUAAGCUCAUACUAUGCAAAACACCCGUUAGAAAUUGCCCGCUGUGUUUUGUUAAAUCUGGUACAUUUCUUUUCUUGAAUAUAUGAUUCAUUAUUGUGAGUUUUGACACUGGUCUCGUGUACCUAACUGACUUCAAGAGCUUCAAGAAAAUCAGCCAACAUGCUGAAAUAUGCGGCAUGUUCAUAGCACCUAUAGCAGACAGCCCGGACAUGGCGCAGACAUGAGAGAAGAAAAAAUGUCAUCCAACCGGACCCCAUAAAUUGACUCGUAUAUCUAGACAGUCAUCGAAUCCUCAAACUUAACCCAUAUAUGAGAGAAUAUGAGGGUGUCCAGUUGUCUAGGCAGUCCGCCAAUCAUAUGGAUUAGACCAACUCCAUCCGAACAAUUUGAGGGACAUAUUGCGUGCGCGGAUAAAAUGUGGGUUCAAAAUAAACACGUCCGGACACUAUCCGAACACGUCCGCGAGCGUAAGAAAGGGGCAGAUUUGACCAUUGUGGUUGUAUAUGCUCUCAUCGUUUAUGCUCAAAAAAGCAAGUUCGCUGUUUACACUAUUGACCUGGUGAGUGGUGGCAAGGCAUGUAUGUCACAAACUCACAGUCCGGGCGGUGUACAGGCUAACAAAUAGUAGGCGUUACUGUCAGCUCCAUCACCAUCGCUGGACUAGUUUGGCUUUUAACAGUCUGUCUAUAUCAAAAAUAUACGCGUAUAAAAUCUGAAAUUUUGGAAGAAAAAAAACCAAGUUUUUGUCGUGACACAGCCGGAGCUUACAGCCCCCGGACGUCGUACUGACCUGGCGGCGAGCCUGUCCCUGUAGGGGCGGCGGCGGAGGGGGCUCCAGCGCACGGACUGCGUGACGGCCCAGUAGGCGGCGUACCAGAGCUCCGCCGCCAGCAUGCCCAGCCACGCCGCCUCCCUUCGCCGGCGGCCGGCACGCGCGUCGCCCGGUAGUAGAGCACCAGCAGUAUCCCGGCGGCCACCGUGACGGCGUGGUGCCUGUACACUGCCCGGCCCCCGUUCGUCUCCGUCUCGAACAGCCUCCUGGUCCUCUCCAUCUUCCAGUCUCGCCUGUCGCUCUCUCAGUCUUUUGUCAACUCCUGUAGAUGAUGGACAGGAGCACACGCAUGUAGUGAGGGCCCUGUUCGGGAGGAUCUGGAACUCCUAUAGUUGUUGUGGACAGCCGACCAGGUGGAGGCGUGGACCUCCCCACCCCUCACUCCACUGGUUUGGUUGACUGAAUUGCCCGUCCCACUGCCCACUCCACGCGCGCGCACACACACCCACCCACAUGGCCACACCCCGUGGCCCCGUAGGGCAUCUCCAACACGACUCAUCAAAUCACCUCGACCCGAUAGUUCAAACACUUUCGGACCUUUAAUGCGGACACAUAUUUUAGGUUGGACCUGUUCGGACAUCCGAAAUUCCAAUGCCGGCCCCAAAUUGGGGGUGGAAGAGUUUGAACAUUCGCUGCCUCGGCAUCUGACAACCUGGACCCACCUUUCCCAUGUCUAGAACCCUCAGCAUUGAUGCCGCUCUCACCGGCUCGUCGCCUACCUGCAUUCAAGCCUGGUCGGCGCGUCGCUCGAGAAGCCUACUUCAGCUUUAAAGUCAGUCAACCUCCCCUUUCAAACCCUAUCCUCACUCAGUCCUCCCCAUCUCCCAAAUCUGCUGCACAUCGUACCUGUAAGUGCAUCUAGUGCCACCCCUAAUUGGUUUUGGAGUAUUGACGACAAACCUGGUUGAGGGACUAAUGUGUUUGUGAGAAUUGCGGGAUAACACAGGUAGUAGUCCCUCAUUGAUUCGAUUUACCUACCGGAGAUGACCCCUAAAAAUGUGUGAAGACAUUGAAGACAAUGGUAGUCUGUGAAGAUAUUCAUAUUCAAGACUAUGACAUGAGAAGACAUUGAGUGAAGACUAUGGAACGCGAAGACUUAGUUGUUUCGUUGUUUCCUUUUCUUCUUUGUUGAGUCAUAGGAACCACCGCACUGUUAAGUGGGGUCCUAGUGAACAAAGUCAGAGUGACUAAAGUGAUGCUCAAACAAAUCCUAUGUCUUCGAGCGAAGACAAUGAGAGCAAAUCUUAUCCAGAGUCGGAUAAGUCAGCUUUACUUGUAGCCCAAGUCAAGCUGCCACGUGUGUUUGAAAUCUGACCGUUGCGACACGUGUCAGUUCCUUAGUGACCCAGGGUCAUUUCGGACAAAUCAGGUCGGGUUGCCCUGUGGCUAUAAAUAGCCCACCUCCUACACCAUAAAUUGGUGGCUGCUCAGAGUUAGAUACGGCUUUUGUCGUUUGAGAGCAACCCACCUCCGAAGCUUUUGAGAGAGAAUCCUUGCGAGGAUAAAGCCCAAACCACCCAGAGCCCAGAGUGUGUUUGGCAUCACUGAAGUCUUUUUGUCCGCGUGAUCUGAAGACUUGUUACACUUGAGGACUGUGAAUCCUCCAGCCGGUUAGGCGUCACGUUCUGAGCAUCCAAGAGUCAUUGUGUAUUGCCGGUGAACGAAGUCUGUGAAGGUUUGGAAGUCUACCUUGAAGACUUACCUAAGUGAUUGGGCGGGGACUAGGUGUCCUUAGCUCAAGGGGAAUAAGGUGAAGACACGGUCUUCUGAGUUGAAUCUCAGCCUCCCUAAUCAGACGUACAGUUGUCACAUCAACUGGAACUGGUCGAACAAACCACUGUCUCCCUGAAGCUACUUGUUCUAUCUCUCACUUCUCUUUACUUAUCGUUUGUCUUCGUGAAGUCUUUGCCUGAUUGCAUAAUCUGUUUGACUUCACAGUUUGACUACUUGUCCUGAUUGGCUUCAUACUAUCUUCCACCCUGAUCCUUACUACCUAGCUGCUAAUAGUCUUCGUGCUUUCACUUCAUUGAAUACUUGACUAUGGCUUGUCUAGUGUAGUCUACCUUUCGCUGCAUACGAAUAGUGUUGUUUCUCCUGUUUGUCUUCGAAACUCCCAUGUUUUGAAGACUUUCAUAAAAAUCGCCUAUUCACCCCCCUCUAGUCGAUAACUAGCAUUUUCAAUUGGUAUCAGAGUAAGGUACUCCCUUGUUCUGUGUGAUUCGGUUUAAUCACCUGAAGUUUUAGCUACAUCGACUGCAGGGAUAAUCAAGGUCUCCGCUGCGUGUGAUGGCACUGAAUAUCCCUACUGGAAGAAUAGGAUGCGCAUGCAUCUUGAAGCCAUUGAUGUCGAUCUGUGGUAUGUCAUCAAGAAUGGCGUUCCCAAGACUGGUGAAGGUGUCACCCCCGCUGAUGUGAAGAAGUUCAUUCAACUGGACUCUACCGCCAAGAACAUCAUCUGUGGUCAUCUGACCAAAGGGCAGUAUGGCCAUGUGAGCGCUUUGGAAACGUCGAAGCUAGUCUGGGACUGGCUCUCCAAGGUCAAUGAAGGCGUCUCAACACAGCGUAAUCAACGAAUCAGUACUCUUCGCAACCUCUUCAACCGCUUCAAAAGACACGACAACGAGAACGUCCAGCUCACGUUUGAUCCCCUCACCGAUAUUACCAAUGAGCUCCGUGCACUCGGUGCAACUGACAUUACGAAGCAUGAAAUUGUGAAGACACUGCUGAGAUCUCUUGACAGCUCAUUUGACACCUUAGCCCUGAUGAUACAAGAACGCCCUGAUUUCAAGACACUUGAUCCGUCUGACAUACUCGAGAGGCUCAACACACAUGAGUACCAGCUAUCUGAGAAACGAGAUAUCUAUGGCCCCAACUACGGCCGAACUCGUGCCUUGAAGGCAAAGGCUGCGGCUUCCUCGUUUGGAGAAGAAUCUGACUGCAAUUCUGAUGAUCCUGAAGACAUUGGAAAGGAGCUUGCUAUGCUUGUGAAGAAGUUCCAGAGAUUCACAAGGAAGAAGAACUUCAGAAAGUCUUCACGAUCCAGCUCAAGGGACGAUGAAGCUUCUACCUAUGACAACAAGAAAAGAACCUGUCACAAGUGCAAGAAACCUGGCCACUACAUCUCUGAAUGUCCACAGUGGGACAAUGAGAAGAAGUAAAAGAAGAGCAAAGAAUAUGAUUUUGAUGACAAAAAGAAGAAGAAAUCCUCAAAGUCUUCUUCCAAAUCUUCCUCUAAGUCUUCAUCACACAAGAAGAUCUCGUCAGGCAAAGCACGUGCUUUUGUUGGCAAGGAAAUGGAUUCAGAGGAGGAGUCUGCUUCUGAGGAGGAAGUGGUGGAGUCUGAGGAGGAGUCUGACUCCGGUGUCGCAAGUAUGGCUCUAGCUACAGCCUACGUCGCCAAGUCCAUCUUCAACACUGAAGACAAUGACUCCGUCACCAACACUAAUGACGAGAACGACUCAACUCCCACCUACUGCUUCAUGGCACGUGGUGCCAAGGUAAACUCUCGCGAUGCUUACUUUCAAACAUCAAGUGAAGAUGACUCUGAUGGUGAUUCCAAACCUAGCUACAAAAAACUUGCUAAAACUGCAACUGAACAGCAGAAUGCCAUGGAACAUAUUCAAAAACUAUUAGACAAAAGCAAUGACAUGUUGGACGCGGAAAUGACUAAGACUCGGUCCUUGAUUGAAGACAUAAAAAAUCUUCAUGUUAAGUACCAGGAACUUGAAGGUCGUCAUGAAACCCUCUCAACAUCUCAUGAAAAGCUUUCCUACGAUUAUCUUCAAAGGAAGCAGGAACUUGAGAAAUUGAGAUCGGAUGAUGAAGAUCUUCAAAAAGAGAACGAGUCACUUCACGCUCAACAGAUCAGUCCCGCUCAGGAAGGAUUUGAACCACCAUGUCUAAUAUGCAUUGAGCGUGAUAACGCUGCCUCUGUUGCUGAAUGUUCUACUGCUACUCCUGUUGCAAUACCUUCAACUGAUGAUGUGGUAACUAACCCCUCUAUUGAGGAUACCACCACUAUUGUUGAUGAGAAUGCCAGGUUGAAAACACUGCUUGAGACAGGGAUGUACAAAAGCCUCAAAGGGCAUCAGACAUUAUGUGAUGUCCUCAAAAAGCAGAUUCUGAACCGAAACCCUAGAAAAGAGGGUGUUGGGUUCGAGAGGAAAAUGAAUGUUGAUGGGUCGUACUGGAAGCCUGAGCAGUACCCCAAAACUACCUAGGUUGCUGCAAAGGAACCUCCAGCAGAUCCAUCCACCUUAUCUGGUUUCACUUGCGCUAACCCUAUUAUCAUUGAUGAAUCCUUUGAUGCAAACUAUAAAUUGUUUAAGAAUCUGAAUGGCGAAGUGUUUGCCAGGUAUAUUGGUACUAACUGCAGGAAUGGGUCACCUAUGAAGAAGAUAUGGGUACCCAAGAGUUGCCUUGAGAAUCUUCCUGUGAAUGCCAUCACGACGCCACCUGUGAAGAAGACAAACCCCCUACCAAAGGUGUCAUACGUUCCAAAAGCUUCAUACAGACCAAGGACUCAUCUGAGUCACCCUAACUCAAUGUUUUGCAGGAAAAUCAUACUCAGACCCAUGAAUAUGAGCAUGUUUCAUUAAACCGCUAUGUUCAUAGAACCAAGAACUUUUCUGCUUAUUCAUAUGAGUAUUAUUCACCCCCUGCAAGGCUAUUUACUAGGGCUCAGAAGCCAAAAUUCUCAGAUGCUGCACUUAGACUCAUUGCUUCUAAGCCACCCCUGAAGAUGUGGGUGGUUAAGAAAACUUAACUCUCUUUUGCAGGGAAGGUCUCUAGUCGGAAAUCAAAAGCAUCCGAAGCUAAUGCUGGAGACCUUAAAAUCUUGUUGGGCGCAAGAUAAAAUGCCUAAAUAGUCUUACUAUGUAUUCCAUUCCAGAUUUUCUUGAUACUCAUCCUGUCUAUCCUAACCAAGACCUGAAUUUCCAUGUUCCACUUGCUCAUUAAAUGUUUCUGCUUCACAACUCGCUUGGUGAAGCCUAUCCCCCAAACUGCAUUGUAGGCUACGACACCUUGUGCUUCAGAAUGGAUUAUGGACAAUGGAUGCACUAAUCACAUGACUGACGAUCGAAGUCUUCUGAUGGAUUCAAUGCUGCGUCCAUCAGACAAAAGCCACAUCACAUUUGCUGACACUGGUAAAAGUAAGGUAUUGGGUCUAGGUAGAGUAGCAAUAUCAAGGGAUCAGCACAUGGAUAAAGUGAUGCUUGUUGAAUCCCUUGGUUUCAACUUAAUGUCUGUCUCAAUGCUUUGUGACUUAAACAUGAUUGUGCUAUUUGGAAAAUAUCGCUGCCUUAUACUGAUGGAAUCUAACAAGUCUCUAGUCUUUGAAGGAUAUCGAAAAGGUGAUCUGUAUAUGGUAGAUUUCUCAGCAGGUCCACAGAUGGCCGUAUGUCUUCUAGCAAAAGCUUCAGAAUGCUGGCUUUGGCAUCGAAGGCUAGGACAUGCUGGCAUGAGGAACUUGCACAUUCUCGUGAAGAAGAAGCAUGUUGUGGGCAUCGAAGGCGUCAAGUUCAAGAAGGAUCAUUUGUGUGGCACCUGCGAAGCCGGGAAGAUGACAAGAGCCAAGCAUCCCUCAAAGAUAAUCAUGACCACGUCUCAAUCCUUCGAGCUGCUGCACAUGGACUUAUUUGGCCCUACUCACUAUUCCACUCUCAAUGCUACUGCUUGCCUCUAUGGCUUCAUCAUUGUUGAUGAUUACUCUCGAUACACUUGGGUGCAUAUAAUCCUCUACAAGACUGAAGUGCAGGAUGUCUUCAGACGCUUUGCCAACCGUGCCAUGGCGAACUACGGUGUCAAGAUCAAGCACAUCAGAAGCGACAACGGCACUGAGUUCAAGAACACCGGCCUCGACCUCUACCUGGAUACCAUGGGUAUCACUCAUGAGUUCUCUGCUCCAUACACAUCUCAGCAGAAUGGCAUCGCCGAGCGCAAGAACAGAACUCUUAUUGAGAUGGCCCGAACGAUGCUUGAUGAGUACAAGACUCCACGGAAGUUCUGGCCCGAAGCCAUUGAUACUGCUUGUCACACCAUCAACCGCGUUUAUCUUCACAAGCUUCUGAAGAAAACAUCCUAUGAGCUCCUAACUGGUAAGAAACCCAAUGUAAGCUACUUCAGAGUAUUUGGUGCUAGGUGCUGGAUCAAGGAUCCUCAUCACACUUCAAAAGUUUGCACAGAAAGCACAUGAAGGUUUUAUGCUUGGUUACGGAAAAGAUUCGCACUCCUACAGAGUCUUCAACCUCUUUCACUAUAAAGUGGUUGAAACUGUGGAUGUGCAGUUCGAUGAGACUAACGGCUCGCAAAGAGAGCACCUACCAAAUGUUUUUAGAUGAGUUAUCCCCUAGCGAGUCAAUCAAGUAAAUGGGAACUGGUGAAAUCAUACCCUCUGAGAAUCAGGCUGAAGAAGAACUGAUCAUUUCUGCACCUGAUCAACCUGAAGACAAUGCUCAGCCUGAAGAUAAUCCUCCAAAUGAUGACAUUGAUCAGAAUGAACAGAAUCUUCGUCCUGCUCACCCUCGUGUUGCAAAUGAAGUACAGAUUGAGAAGAUGAUCGAUAGCCUCAAUGCACCUGGUCCACUCACUCGUUCAAGAGCCACACAAAGAGCAACACAACUCACCAAUUUCUGUGGACACUUUGCAUUCGUCUCAAUCUCAGAACCCAAGAAAGUCACCGAAGCCUUUAUGGAAUCUGAAUGGAUUCAAGCAAUGCAAGAAGAGUUUCAACAGUUUGAGUUGAACAAUGUGUGGGAACUGGUCAAGCGUCUUGAUCCUCGGAAGCACAAUAUCAUUGGCACCAAAUGGAUAUAUCGCAACAAGCAAAAUGAACAUGGUCAGGUGGUCAGAAACAAAGCUCGUCUAGUUGCUCAAGGCUACACUCAAGUGGAAGGGAUUGACUUUGAUGAAACUUUUGCUCCUGUGGCAAGGCUUGAAGCCAUUCGCAUACUGCUAGCCUAUGCAAAUCAUCACAACAUUCUCCUUUAUCAAAUGGAUGUGAAGAGUGCUUUUCUCAAUGGAAAGAUAGAAGAAGAAGUAUAUGUUGCACAACCUCCUGGCUUUGAAGAUCCAAAACAUCCUGAUAUGGUGUACAAGCUCAACAAGGCACUGUAUGGCCUCAAACAAGCCCCUCGCGCUUGGUAUGAUACACUCAAAGACUUCCUGAAGAGCAAAGGCUUCAAACCUGGUUCACUGGAUCCUACCCUCUUCACGAAGACUUAUGACAGUGAACUGUUUGUGUGCUAAAUAUAUGUGGAUGACAUUAUCUUCCGCCGCACCAACAAGAAAUACAGUGAUGAGUUUGGUCAUAUGAUGCAAGAGCAAUAUCAGAUGUCCAUGAUGGGUGAACUAAAGUUCUUUCUAGGUCUCCAAAUCCGUCAGCAACGCAACGGCAUCUUCAUUUCUCAAGAAAAAUAUCUCAAAGAUUGCCUAAAGAAGUUUGGAAUGCAAGACUGCAAAGGAUACACGACGCCAAUGCCAACCAAAAGUCAUCUGGGUCCCGACGACACUGGUAAAGAAUUCGACCAAAAGGUAUACCGCUCCAUGAUUGGUUCUUUGCUUUAUUUAUGUGCAUCUAGGCCAGAUAUAAUGCUUAGUGUUUGCAUGUGUGCCCGAUUCCAAGCGGCACCAAAGGAAUCGCAUCACUUACCAGUGAAGCGAAUACUUCGAUAUUUGGCUUACACCCCAACACUAGGAUUAUGGUAUCCAAAGGGCUCAGAGUUUGAUCUAGUUGGAUUCUUAGAUGCUGAUUAUGCUGGUGAUAAGGUUGAUCGCAAGUCCACAUCAGGCACAUGUCACUUUCUGGGACGAUCACUUGUCUGUUGGUCUUCAAAGAAGCAGAACUGUGUAUCUCUCUCCACUGCUGAAUCCGAAUACAUUACUGCUGGAUCUUGCUGUGCUCAGCUUCUCUGGAUGAAGCAAACUCUCAAGGACUAUGGUAUACACCUAAAGAAUGUGCCUCUUUACUGUGACAAUGAGAGUGUCAUCAAGAUUGCCAACAAUCUAGUUCAGCACUCGAAGACAAAGCAUAUUGAGAUUCGGCAUCACUUCCUCAGAGAUCAUGUUAUGAAGGAAGACAUUGAUAUCAUCCAUGUCAACACUGAAGAGCAACUGGCUGAUAUCUUCACAAAGCCCUUGGAUGAGAAAAGGUUUUGCAAGUUGCGGUGUGAGCUAAAUAUCUUGGAAUUCUCAAAUGUCCUGUGAAUGGGACACACAUCCUAACACUUAUGCAUUUUGAUGACUUAGAUGUGCAACACACGAAGUAACGUAUAUCUUCAAUCAAUGAAGACAUACACUCCAAGUGUGAAUACAUUAAUGCGGAAUUUGACUUCGGAGCGCCAGGAUAAUUGUGCGCCGUGUCUGAGUCUAAUACUUUCUAUACGGUGGGUAACACCACCACCAAACUUUUGUUUGAGGUGCUUCUCUUAGCGUUAUGUUUGCAUAGUCUUCAUAACUGAGUUGUCUUUAUUUCUGACUUAUAUUCGAAUUUAUCUUCAUAUGAUUGAUUUGGCCUUAAACUGGUUGCAUACUAUUUGUGUUCUGUCCUCCACGGCAUUCACUUAUAGUUAUGACUUCGUGUUGAAUCUUUUAAUCUAAGUGAAUGUGAUCGGACCCUAACCUAACUAUGCUUCUACCUCAACUCCAUCUGUCCAAAUCAUAUGCAUUCUAUUGAAAACUGUCGAUUGUCUUCACUGAAUCUUGUCAGCUGAAGUCAAUCUGACAAACAUUCAUGUUUGUUUUAAAUGUGCUAUCUUUAUUACCGGAAAUCCGAAGAAUUCAGAACGACCGCCCCCACAAUCCAGGCGUGCGUGGGAACAUGGAACAACUACCCAGGAGUUGCAUGCACGCCACGUGUCAUUCAAAUGUGAAUCGCCAGGGGCACCUGCGUAAUUACGCUGUGCUGUCCCUUUCCUUAUAAAUGCACAUCCCAUCACGGUCAAAAAACUUUCUUCCACCUCGCCACCUCCCGAAAACCCUAGCGCCACCGCUAGCACUCGACGACGCCGGCGAUGAAGCGCUUAGGUGUCGCGACUUCUCCGACGCCGUCCUCACGCCGGCCGCGACCUCAUCUUCUCUGUCGCCACCGUAGCUGUCUCUCGUCGCCAAGUUAGGGCACGAGAGAUUGAACUGCUCGGCCUCAACUUUUCCUCCGUCUAGCAGUUCUUCCUGUGGUAAUUAAAACUCUCUUUUUACUGUCUUUUUGAUCUGAUAGAUUCAUCCUUCUUUACCAAAAGUAGUUUCUACAACUCCAAAGUUGAAUCUAUCACACUCUGCAUCUCAUAAUGUGCCUAGAAUGUUCACUUAUGCUUCAUUACAAGUUAGAUUCCUCACUUGUACUUAUUUCCGGAUUUGUACAACUCUGGAACCAACUCACAUCAACUAAGUGAAUAUCUUCGCGUUAUGAGGUCAAUGUCUUCAAACUGAUUUAUCUUCAAAAUCAUCUGAGAAUGCAUAUGACCUCUUCCCCUUUCCUCGCAUCUCUAAUGCUGUCACAGGUACAUGUCCGUGGGAGAAUCCCUUGGUUCUCAUAGUCUGCAUUCAUUUGCAGAAUUCUUGCAGAGUCACAUCAAUUCACCUGAAGCAAGUUCUUGUCUGACUAGCCGCAAGAAGCCAUUGCACGUUCUGAAACCCUUCAGCUUAAACUUCAUGACAACUGAAAAGUCAGCACGAAAGGGAGGCAGACAGCGCCGUGGUAACACUUCAAAGGAUUUGCCUCCUGAUCUUCACGAGCUGUACAAAACUGAUCCUGAGGAAACCUAUACCGGCCGCAAGAAUCGAAUCCAGUGGAUUCGAAGAUAUUGGGCUGAAGAAUGGUUCAAAUACCGCUUCGUCACUGAAGAAUAUGCAGAGAAAAAUGCCAUCAAGACACCCUGGGGAGAUAUUGUGUACAAAAAUCUUCAACCCCAGUCUCUUUCCGAAGCCAUCCAACUGGAAUUCUAUCCUUGCAUGGUUCGCGGACCAGAGCUAGAGAAUGCUGACCCUUCUUCUCUGCUAUGGUGUCGCGAAGACCAUCUCUUUAAGCGCAAUUACCAGUUCGCCAAAGACUCAGCUGCGAAGAACAAGAAGGCUCUAGGGCUCAACUUCAACCCUUGUCCUUCCUCACCUCGGGAUGAUGGCACCCGCGAAGCCAAUGAGAAUAGGAUCGGUCCCUUCUACAACUUUGAAGGCCUCCUCGCUCACAUAGCUGUACAAGGUGCCAAGGUGGAUCAUUCUGAUGAUGAUGCUGACACAGAUGAAGCUCCUGCUCCUACUCCAAAGCCGCAGAAGCAAAAGAAUGCUAAAGCUUCAAAACCCUCUGCUGCACCAAAGGCUUCUCGAGUGAAGCCGUUGGCAACUGCCCCUCCUGCUCCAAGCAACGCCUCUGAAGAUCUCUCUCGCAUCUCUAAGAAGCGUGAGAAGCCACAGAAGAAACCUGUUCAGAGACUCAGUCAAGCACUGACACCAGCUGCCGUUCUGAGGAAUGAAUCUGAAGCCAUUGAUUUGUCUUCAGAUGAAGAAUUUGGUGAGGAUGCUCUGGAGCAGCUGAUCAAGAGCAAGCAAGAGGCGGAGAUCUUCAAUGAUCUGCCCCUCUUUGAUGUGAACAUCUUGCACAAUUUCAUUGAUGAGUGGUUCGACAAUCAAAAUCUCAGCUUUGAUGAUCUCCAACUCCCCAUUGGCAUCAGCGUCGCCUUCCAAGGCGCAAUUGCUCCUGAGCUGGCUCUGGCCCAGCGAAUUGUUGAACUGAAACACAAGAUUGAUUUCGAGAAGGAACAGUUCAAGAAGCAUGUGGCCAAGCUGAGUGUGGCUGAUGUCCAAAAAUUCAAGGUGAUGCUGAAUGACCUUAAAGAAGCCUUUCGCAAGAAGCGUGAAGAAGCCAAAGGCUCAAGAGAACGCAUGAAGAUUCUUGCUGCCAAAUGUGUUCAGGCUUACAACGAAGCUGAAAAGCGCAAGGCACUUGGGCGUCCUGGUAUUGACCCCAAGAUGGCUGUCAAGCAAAAGAAGAAGUCUACUGUGGCCCCCACUGAAGCUCCAAGGCGGGAAGAACCUCGCAUUGUCUUCCCUGCCAGCAUGAUAGGCUCGAAGCCUAAGGUCUCCACAGUGGCUUCAGAUCAGCAGAAGACCAAGGCCGCUGAAGCCGAAGCCAGAAAGCGCAAAAUCAAGCGCACUACUGAUGAUGCACCACCCCAAAGAAGAGAACGACCAAGAAGAAAGAUCGGGCUGCUUCCAGAGAGCCCCUAGUUGUUGAACCCAUUGCUUGUGCUCCCCCUCCAUCCAACAAUCAAGAGCGUCAGUUGAUUGUUCAUGAGCCUGCUUCCACAGAGGCUCCUGAAGAACAAGAAGUUCCAGUCGUCGAUCCUAUCGCGACUGAAGACAUUGGUCCCCAAGACAAUGUAGAAGAUGAUGAAGUCCUUCCUCAGAUUCAGAACCCCACAGUAUCAUCGCCUGUUCUCAUGAACAACGAACUCAUCAGUAUUGGUCGUCCUUUGAUGCCAAUCACACAGGAUGCUUCAUGGGCUGAUCGCCCCCAACCAGAUACCCUAGUUCAAGACUCCCCAAGUACACCGCAUCCUACGCCAACGCAAGGUACCAGUCCAAUUGUCAAUGAUGACAAUUACAUGGAGGCCACACCAUCAUCGAAGACGUCACCCGUGUUUCAACGGCUCCACAAAGGCCUGAGGCCUUCGGUCUCCAUGACGACUAUCAGGAAGAGGAUUCACACCAAUCCAGCUCAGUGGCACGUCAAGUGUUUCCUGAAGACAAUCCUUCUGUGAUGGUUCCUGUGCCCGAAGCUAAUGCUUCUGAAGAGAUUCCGGCUGCAACAGUCGAUGACAGACAAGAAGAACCUGUUGCCACACACCCCACAAAUCAAGAAGUUGUUCUCGAGGAGAACGUAUCUGUGCCCGACCCUCCAGCUACACAAGUGGAGGUUGAGAAUACUGAGGCGGCCACCAAUAACGCCACUGAAGCCAAUGACGUUGUCAUGGCUGAAGCCAAUGUGGCACCUCAAGUCAAUACAGUGAAUGAAGCCAAUGCUGCACCUGCAUCCAAUGUGCAGCCUGAAGCUAAUGCAGAUGCCACUGCUCCUGUUCCGCCUCCAAGGCCACACACAAUUAAGCAUGCAUUCUAUCAAGGCGAGCUUGUUCCUGUAUGAUGGCCAAUUCUGGUUCCUCCGCCUGCUCCUGGACCACAAUUUGACUACCAUGUGGAGCAUAGGCCUCAGGUUCAGAAGCCAAAACCUAAGACUGCCCAGAUUCCCAGGUUCUGCAUCAGCACCAGGCUCCUUCAAUGUCAACGGCUUCAUUGCACACAACACCUUCUUCGAUUCUGGCAAGAACCCAUAUUCCAAGCCAAGAAUCUCAUCAGAUCGGUUCUGGAGCUACCACCAGCGCAGCUACUACUCCUGCAUUCUAUACAAUCAAGAGCGCAUAUUUCCUCAUAUGCGUCUGGACACUGAAGUCGUUGCUGGUCUGCCCUGCCUUGAAGAAGCCCUAGACUGCUUUCGUGAUGCUGGCCUUCUGCAGUUUGUCACCGACAAGGAACAUUGGAAUGAAGAGCUUCUCCUGCAAUUUUAUGCAACCCUCCACAUUCGCGGCUACAAUAGGGAUACAACGACAUUGGUCCUUGAGUGGAUGACGGGCAACGUUCAUCAUGAAGCCAAAGCCUUUGAUCUCAUUGAGCUUACCAGCCUCUCCACUCCAGGCGAACUGUAUGAACCAGGUUGUCAGCUUCACCGCGAUGCAUUGGAGAGCAUCUUUUAGAAGCUUGAGCCCAACAUAAGCCAGAUGCUCAGUAUGAUGAAGCCACUGCCCUCGGAUGCUGAGUAUCCCAAGGAAUUCCUUGUUGAAGACCUUGAGUAUCUGCCACGCACAAUCUAUCAUAUCAUUCGGCGAACUCUAUGGCCGAUGAAGGGGCAUUCCUCCUCAGCAAAUCUUGAAGGAGCAAUGAAGACAUUGGUCUUCUACAUACUCAAUGGCAAAAGCUUCAAUGCUCAAGAUUUCUUCAUACGCCAGUUUGCUGCAUCUGGGUCUGACAUUUCCGGUCUCAAAUUUUAUGCUCCUUGGGUUAUGCGUCUGAUUAAGCUGCACUCUGCUGUUGACUAUCAGCCCUCUGCACGCAACCAUAUUAUCUUCCUGCCAGAGGUUGAUAUGUCAGUCGAAGCCAUUUACCCAGAGCCUGCCAAGGAAGCGCUAUAUCUUCACAAUGCAGAUUGUCAGAGUUUCACUCAGGAUGUUGAAGGUGUUCAAGCUGUUUCGCGUGUCUAUCCAUUGGCCAGCAACACUCGUCGUGCACGUACUGAAGCCAUUGAAAGCACCAUUGCGCCAAGGUCUCGCAAGCGCUCCCGUGUACUCUAUGACCAUGAGCUUCUUGUGGCCCUGCAUCGGAAACAAGACAAGCAUCACUUUUGGCUGAAACGGCAGAUGCAAAGCCUCUUGAUGGAUGUUAAUCACAUUCGCAAUCUUGCUACCAAGAAUGCUUUUGUCACUCAUGAAACCUGUCGGAGGUCCUGGAAGAGUCUAACAUUACUAAGUGUUGAAGCUGAUCUUCAAGACGAUGGCUUCACUGAGAGAUUCAAGUUCGACUCCACUCCUCCACGGAAUGAUGUGCUACGUCAAACCCCAUCUCUUGAAGACUCAGAAUACUCUUCCUCUGCAGCCACUGUUCACGCUAGAGUUAUUGAUGAAGCUGAUGAUGCUACCUCACCACCUCCAACCUCAGCGCAUGUCAACACUGCACCAAGUUCUUCUGCACCACCUAACCUCAACGACGACCCUACUGCUUCACCUACUCCUCAUGGGAACGAGUAGCGACUAUGUCUUCAAACCUUUUUGGUCCUUACUGACAAAAGGGGGAGAAGCAUAUGUUGAUAGUCUUCAAGCGGGUCCAUAUGGGUGGUUGCUAUACUUUUGCGCGGUGUUUACAACUCUCGUUUUUGAUACAUUUGGUUCUUUGAGUUGUAACACCUAAACUCGAUGGUUGUCUGCUACUUUUUGCUACUAGUCUGUGAUGCGACGAUAAAUUCCGCAUAUGCGAUGUUAAAUCUCGCAUGAAGUCAUGUCGCAGACAUCCAUCUUUCAUUAUGCAUGUCAUUAUCCUUGUAUAUCUUCUCAUGCAUGAUGCAUUGUCUUCAUAUGGUGAGAUGGAUCACCACAAGUACAACCUGCCAUGUGCAUUUGCAUUCCAACGCAAAACAUUUAUAUGCACAUCUUCAGGGGGAGCCUCUUGCCAUAUAUGAAGACAAUGCCUUAAUCCCCUACAAUUUCACAUACUUUUAUCCCCGUUGAAAACUUCAACCAGUUUGUCAUCAAUCACCAAAAAGGGGGGGAUUGUAAGUGCAUCUAGUGCCACCCCUAGUUGGUUUUGGAGUAUUGACGACAAACCUGGUUAAGGGACUAAUGUGUUUGUGAGAAUUGCAGGAUAACACAGGUAGUAGUCCCUCAUUGAUUCGGUUGACCUACCGGAGAUGACCUCUAAAAAUGUGUGAAGACAUUGAAGACAAUGGUGGUCUGUGAAGAUAUUCACAUUGAAGACUAUGACAUGAGAAGACAUUGAGUGAAGACUAUGGAACGCGAAGACUUAGUUGUUUCAUUGUUUCCUUUUCUUCUUUGUUGAGUCAUAGGAACCACCGCACUGUUAAGUGGGGUCCCAGUGAACAAAGUCAGAGUGACUAAAGUGAUGCUCAAACAAAUCCUAUGUCUUCGAGCGAAGACAAUGAGAGCAAAUCUUAUCCAGAGUCGGAUAAGUCAGCUUUACUUGUAGCCCAAGUCAAGCUGCCGCGUGUGUUUGAAAUCUGACCGUUGUGACACGUGUCAGUUCCUUGGUAACCCAGGGUCAUUUCGGACAAAUCAGGUCGGGUUGCCCUGUGGCUAUAAAUAGCCCACCCCCUACACCAUAAAUUGGUGGCUGCUCAGAGUUAGAUACGGCUUUUGUCGUUUGAGAGCAACCCACCUCCGAAGCUUUUGAGAGAGAAUCCUUGCGAGGAUAAAGCCCAAACCAUCCAGAGCCCAGAGUGUGUUUGGCAUCACUGAAGACUUUGUGUCCGCGUGAUCUCAAGACUUGUUACACUUGAGGACUGUGAAUCCUCCAGCCGGUUAGGCGUCACGUUCUGAGCAUCCAAGAGUCAUUGUGGAUUGCCGGUGAACGAAGUCUGUGAAGGUUUGGAAGUCUACCUUGAAGACUUACCUGAGUGAUUGGGCGGGGACUAGGUGUCCUUAGCUCAAGGGGAAUAAGGUGAAGACGCGGUCUUCUGAGUUGAAUCUCAGCCUCCCUAACCAGACGUACAGUUGUCACAAUAACUGGAACUGGUCGAAUAAACCACUGUCUCCCUGAAGCUAUUGGUUCUAUCUCUUACUUCUCUUUACUUAUCGUUUGUCUUCGUGAAGUCUUUGCCUGAUUGCAUAAUCUGUUUGACUUCACAGUUUGACUACUUGUUCUGAUUGGCUUCAUACUAUCUUCCACCCUGAUCCUUACUACCUAGCUGCUAAUAGUCUUCGUGCUUUCACUUCAUUGAAUACUUGACUAUGGCUUGUCUAGUGUAGUCUACCUUCCGCUGCAUACGAAUAGUGUUGUUUCUCCUGUUUGUCUUCAAAACUCCCAUGUUUUGAAGACUUUCAUAAAAAUCGCCUAUUCACCCCCCCUCUAGUCGAUAACUAGCACUUCCAGUACCUCCAAUGGCCACCAUGAUGGACAAGAAGAUGCUCGAGGAGGAGAACAAGCGCACCGGGGCGUGGUGGUUGCUUGGCGGCUACCACUCGACGCAGCCUCCGCCAUGCCCGGACUCUGGAUUUGAGGAGAGCUUCAGAUCCAAUAUGCGGUGCUAUUCCCGGUCACCGAGUCCAUCUUCGUCCACCGUGAAGGAGAAGCGGGUUGACGAGGAGGAGAUCGGCUAGGCCAACCUUGCGAGGAGGACUCGGUAGAGGAGGAGCCGCCGCAGCCGCCCAUGCCCUGCGGCGGCGAUAGAUGGCGAGUUCCAGCAGCACACGGAUUGCACCGUGGAACUCGUUGAGCGACUAGGGUCCGGCGCCAUCAUCUCCUCUAUGAAACCAUAGUGUCCAGAUUAGACUCCGUUUGUAGUCAUCCGUGUUGCCCCGAUGCCAAAUGGUGCCUUGCCCUAGUGAAGCAAGAGUCAUCCCAGCCGAGGCUGCGUAGCCACCUUGACUACUAUCUGAGUGGUGGUGGCUCGGGCUGCACAUCGUCCUCGUCGUCGGUGGUCGGGGGAUGCCUCACCAAGGUGGAGAGACACGCCCGGAGUGACACCGGGUGCAGCGCUUGGUGGUGUUCGCCAAGACCGAUGUGCCACCGCCCUAGGUCCUCGCUGAGGCUUGGGCCUUCGAUUGGUUCAAGACCACCAAGAAGAUGGUUGCCCGCCGAUGGCGCCGUCCGAACUAGCAGCUCCUCCUUUUCGGGCUGGUCGAGACCGAGUGCUUGAUCCGCCUCCAAGCCAACAAGAAGCGACCCAAGGUGGAAGAGGUGGCUGAGUUUCUACGGCGUGAGCAUGACGCCCCGGCCAUGGACAGUUCGCGCGACGGCUAGAGUUGUAUCCUCCACUGGCGCGACUAUGACGACUCAAACAGCGGCGGCAACUGUGGUGCCCGUGGGCUUGGAGGCCAUGCCUACGAGGUGGUCGUGCGCUACUUAGCCUAGUUUUAGUUUAGUUAUGUUAAGUUAAAUUUGAGUAGUUUCGAUGAAACUUGUUAAAUCUUAUCUAAUAUGCAUGUAAUAUAUCGUACUAGGUUUAAUUUCGUUUUUGAAGUGUUCGGACGAGGGAAAUUACGGAGACGAUUUUGGAUGGCCGGCGCCGGCCAGAUGACCGCGGACACAUCAAAUUGGUCAUACAAUGCAAUAUAAAACAAAUACCUUACACUCAUUCAACAAAACUAAGUGAGACAAAUAUCUAAAAGCCAUAGUGAGAACACUUAGUGAUUUGAAUGUGAUAUGUACAAUCCAGUGGCACCCUGCUUUGUUUGUACAUUGGGAUCUUUGUCCAAUGGUCCAAAUGGCUAGAUCCUAUGUAUCCACCUAAUGGUCUGAUCCUAUACAAGUUGCUCCCCAGUAAAAUGUACUGUAAAGAAAUCUCUGAUAUUUCGAUUCACAUAGAUAUGGUGAUUUUGCGCACUGCACAGUCUUCAACAAGUUACUUUCAUAGUUAAUAUUCAUACAAAUAUGUUGGUAAGAAUAUAUAGAAAAACAUGUAUCAUGAAAAUAUUUUCAUCAGGACAAUUUUGCUUAAUUAUUGUGAAGCAUUUCCUCUUAUUUAGCGCUCUUGUUGGUAAGAUCUAAGAAAUGACAGGAUACAAGAGAGGGAGAGAUGGUUGAAAGGGGGUCCUAAUUUGAGGUGGGCACAGGUGGGAUGAGAAGGGAUUAGGUGCAACAUUGAGGAUGAAAAUAGAGGGUUUACGCAAAAUGUCCAUGCCCUGGCCACCUUGCUAAAUCUGGAUAGCUCAUUCUUUAUUCAAUGGUGCAGACGAUUGGAUCCUAUGUAUUCAUGUGUCCACCUAAAGCCCUGAUUCUAUACAAGUUGCUCCCAUACUGGGAUUUUACUAGUGCUAGAGGAGACUGAGUUAGAUCUGUCAUCGAUUGCAUCGGCGUUCUUGACAUCUUCUGUUUGGGCAUUUUUAUUUUACCGAAAAAGGCUUUCGCCCCGCUUUAUAAAUAAAGCAAACCGCCACAGAGCAUACAAACCGAAGCAAGUCCACACACACCCACCCAAGACUCACGACAAAGUACAUAGGUUCUGCUGAGGGCACAGCUCAACAAGCCCAAAAGGAAAAGAAAAACAACACCCACACACCAAACACAAGGCGUCUAGUCAGGAUCCGGCGGAGGCGGCGGCGACAGGCGGACGGCCAUCGAACGGAUGUUGGCGAUGAAGGCGGAGAUGGCGUCACAGUUCGGGGGGCGGCUAAGCGGCCGCCAAAGCUGCAAGAAACCCGAGAAUUUGUAGAGAGCGUCAGUAGCGCGGCGAAGGGGAGCGUGCUAAAUCACAAGCUUAUUGCGAACGGUCCAAAGAGUCCAGGCGAGAACGCCAACCUCAAGCCACCUAAUGUGGCGAGAGGACGCGGAGGACAACUGGAGUUCAGCAAAAAGGUCCGGGAAAUUGGUGUGGCACCAACUACCACCGACCACCUCGCGAAAGCAGCUCCAGAGGAACUGGGCGGAGACGCGGGAGAAGAAGAUGUGGUUCGAGUCUUCAGGGACUCCACAGAGCGGGCAGAUACCGGUGCCCGGGCCAUUGCGCUUGCAGACCUCCACUCCAGACGGGACCCGGCCGCGAAUCCACUGCCACAUGAAAAUGCGGAUCUUCAGGGGAACGCGGACGGACCACACCGUCGAUAGGGGGAGGGGAGCGGAGGAUGGGGCAAUGGCCGGGUACAACGACUUGGUGGAGAACAAGCCCGACGGAUCCAGACGCCACCGCACAAGGUCCGGUCUGCCAUCCACCAACGGCUCAUGCAACGCAACGCAAUCAAGCAACUCACGCCAGGCGGCGGAUUCCGCCGGCCCAAAAGGCCGACGGAAAGCAAGGCGCCCUAAGUCAAGAAGGGCCCUAUUGACCGAAAUCGUGGGGUCGACGGAGAUAGAGAAGAGGGCGGGGAAGCGGGCCGCAAAGGGAGCGUCUCCGGCCCAACGAUCAAACCAGAAAAGCGUCGAGAGGCCGGAUCCCACCGAGAUGGAGGUCCCAAUGCGGAGCACCGGGAGAAGCUGGACAAUAGACUGCCAGAACUGAGAGCCGCCCGAUUUCUGGCAGAAGGCUAGGGGCUGACCCCGCAGGUAUUUAUUCCGGAUAAUGUCGAGCCAGAGGCCACCUUGACCCUGGGCGAUGCGCCAGAGCCAACGGGAGAGAAGGUCAAUAUUCAUCCUUUUAGAGCACAUGAUGCCCAGACCACCUUGCUCCCUGGGCUUGCAGAUGUCAGGCCAGCUGACCAUGUGGUACUUUUGCUUAUCAUGCUCGCCAGCCCAGUAGAAGCGGGACUGAAUUUUGGCGAUCUCCUUGUGGAGAGAUUCAUGGAGGCUGUAGAAACUCAUAAGGAACAGAAGGAGACUGGAGAGGGAAGAGUUGAUGAGAAUAGUCCGGGCCGCCUUAGAUAGCCAUCUCCCCUGCCAGGGCUCGCAACGGGAUUGGAGCUUAGUCACGGAGGGCCGCAGGUCCGCGACGGAGAGUCGCGAGUCGCUAAUGGGAGUCCCCGGGUAGGAGGUGGGGAAAGAGCCCAGGCGGCAAUUAAGUCUGUUGGCGAUGGCCAUAGACUCAGAGGGGGAAUAUCCCAUAACCAUGACAUCACUCUUCUCAAAGUUGAUCUUGAGGCCCGACAUCUGUUGGAAGCAGAGAAGGAGGAACUUGAGGUUGGCGAUGUCCACCUCCGAGCCUUCGACCAUAAUGAUCGUGUCGUCAGCAUACUGGAGGAUGGAGAUCCCCGAGCCCCCAGAAAGGUGUGGGGUAAUCCCGCGGAUGUGGCCAGCGGCUUUUGCCUUAUCAAGGAUGGAGGCAAGAGCGUCCACUACCAUAUUGAACAAGAACGGGGAGAAGGGGUCGCCUUGGCGCACCCCACAAAGGGUAGGGAAGAAAGGACCAAUCUCGCCGUUGAUGUUAACCGCCGUGCGACCGCAAGAGACCAUUUGCAUGACUCUAGUGAUCCACCGGUCAUCAAAGCCCUUCCGAAGAGGGACUUCCCUGAGGAAGGUUCAGCUAACAGAGUCGUAGGCUUUGUGGAAAUCGAUCUUCAGAAAGACCGCCUUAAGGCGUUUGACCCGGACCUCGUGAAGGACUUCAUGAAGGACCAGGACUCCAUCUAGGAUAUAUCGGCCCUUAAUGAAGGCCGACUUGUUAGGGUGGGUUAUCCGGUCAGCAAGCAGGGUCACCCUAUUGGCGUACCCUUUGGCCAGGAUCCGGAAGAUCACAUUAAUGACCGUGAUCGGCCGGAACUGGCGGAUGUCGGACGCCCCAGGGACCUUGGGGAUGAGAGAGAUGAUCCCGUAGUUGAGGCGCCCCAGGUCAAUAGAGCCAACAAAGAAUUCCUUGAAGAUGGCCAUGACUUCUGGUUUAAUCACGUUCCAGAAGGUCUGGAAGAAGAUGACUGGGAGUCCAUCCGGGCCCGGAGCAGAAGAAGCAUUCAUACCCUUGAUAGCCUCCCAGACCUCCUGCUCAGAGAAGGGGGUCGUCAAGGCCGCGUUCUCCGCGUCGGACACUAGCUGGAGGCCGGCCCAACAAUCAGGGGCGAGGGAGAUGCCGCUCCGAGGAGCGGCAGAGAAAAGGGACCUAUAGAAACCGUCGACAUGGGUCCGGAUGUCGCGGGGGUCCUGGAGGAGGGUCUCCCCAUCCCAGAGAAGGGGGAUGGUGUUGCGUCUACGGCGGCCGUUGGCGAUAGCCUGGAAGUAUGCAGUAUUCGCGUCACCCUUCAGGACCCAUUUCUGCGCGCCCCGAAGGCGCCAAUAAGCCUCCUCAUCGGUGUAGAUCACGGAGAGUUGGUCUUCGAGGUCAUAGCGGGACAACCACUCGUCCGGAGAGAGACCCACCACGUCGGCCCUAAGGUCAAGGGCCUGGAUCGCGGUAAGCAGCGCCUUCUUACGCUCCCUGGCGUCGCGACCAAGGUUGGCCCCCCACCCCUUCAUAAACUGCCUGCCACGUUUCGCACAGAAGUUCCACGCGUCAAUAGCCGAGGGGGGCCGAGGGUGGGGGUGGGCCCGAGCCUCGAUCCACCGCGCGCAGACGGCGUCGGUAAAUCCAGACUGGGAGAGCCAGAAGGUCUCAAAGCGGAAACGAGGGGGAUCGGCGGACGCUCGUCCGCGGAGGAGAGAAGAAGGGGGACAUGAUCCGAGCCAAUCCUAGUGAUGGCGCGGAGAGAGGCUAGGGAGCAAGGGAGGUCCCACUCCGGGGACAUUAAGACCCUGUCCAAGACGGACUGGGUCGGGGAGGCUUGCCGAUUGGUCCAGGUGAACCGGGCACCAAUCCUAUCAAUCUCCCGGAGGGCGAGGUCAGCAAUGAAGUCAUUAAACAACUGCAUCCGGGCAAAGCAGACAUUGUCAUUGCUCUUGUCUUCCGCCACGCGCAGCAGGUUAAAGUCGCCACCCACUACCACGGGGAGGGAGGCAGCCGAGAUCUUCCGGUGGAGCUCCUCAAGGAAGGCGGCCGACCGACUAUGGUCGGCAGGCCCGUAGACAAUGAUGAUCUCCCACUUGAAGUUGAGAGAUCUCUCGAAUAAUUCCAUGCUGACGAAGAAUUCCCCCCGAUCCAUGCUGCCCACCUCGAAGGUGGCAUCCUUCACACCUAAAAGGAUGCCACCCGAGUGGCCUGAGCUCCCACUAGAAGGGAGCCAGUGCCACGCAAAGAGGUGGGAGCUCAAAUGGUCGAGCUCAGGGAACGAGAAGUCGCGACGCAUGGUCUCCUGAACGGCAACGAUGUCGAUGUGCUCAUCCCGCAUGUACUCCACAAGUUGGCGGCGACGACCAUCAUGGCCGAAGCCGCGGAUGUUCCAGAAGAGGGCUCGCAUUAAGGAGCCAUCGGGGGGCUGCUUGACCCCAGAACACGAGAAGCGCUUUGCGCGCGAAGAGCCGCAGUGCGGGAGCGAGUACGGCCACGGAUCUCCGCCCCGGCUGCCGCGGACCAGGCGGGGUGGGAGACACCCCCACCGCAGAGGCGGCCGGAGGUAAAAGGAGGGCUGCACGGGCCUCCGCGAGCUUCCCAUCAAGGAUCUCACGAGCUCUGAUGGCCGCGAUCUGGACUAAAGGGGGGCCAGCCUCCCCUCUGAAGAUGAUCGUGGAGUCGGAGGCCACUUUGGCGAGGUUAAUCCCGAGUUGAAGGGCUUACGCAAAUUGCUUCUGCCCAACCCGGGACUACUCCACAUAUAAAUACAAUUGCACAUGAAACUAUCAGCGCAAGUGUUUUGAGAGAACCAUAAACCAUACCAACUUGAGUACUUAAUUACACACUGAUGCCUCUUAUGGGACCUUAAACUAUUGCUGGCAGUAAGGCCAACAUCACAAAGCCAAUAGAAGCUAGUGUAACUGGGAAUGGUAUUCUGCCUUUGUCCUUCCUCAGGAACAUUGCUUCAUAGAAUGGGAUACUGGUUAUCACCACCAUCCCACAGAGAAUGAGCUGGGGGAAAAGUGCAUCCAAGUGUAUAUUAUUCCAUCCAACUUUCAUGACUUUACUUAGCCCUCCCAGCAGGCAAACAAGGUUGAGUAACGUGAUAGUCCCGAUGAUCACAUAUUCUGGAUCUGACGACCCGAAUUCCAUAAUCUCUUGCUCAUACCUCUUGGACUCGUCUUCAUCGCUUACCUUCGGUGAAACCACAAAAUUCAUCUUUGACAGUCCAAGUAACUUCCGGAGAUUGUCAAGGACUCCAAAGAGGUACGAGGUUAUUCUUUUGACCAACCACAUCCUCUGCCCAUUCCACCAUCCUUUCAGCGUGUCUCCAGAUGAUAGUGCCUCAUAUAGGCUGUACAUGUUCUUCACACAGAAGACAUAUACGAAGGGUGCAAUCCAUGGACUUGUAAUCUGAACGACACAUGAAUAUUACAUCAGUUUUUUAAUACAAAACAUAUAUGUAACUAAGGUGAGGCUUUUUCAUAGCAUGAAUCAUUACCUCUGGGAAAAGGGGGGUGCCUUUGAGGAGGGCCAGUGAAGGGAUGAUAACAUAAUACAGUGUAGCGAGUGAGUUGGGUGCCCAUAGUCCGUAGAUAUGGUAGCCCAUCUGAUGUCGUAGCUUGGUUUUUCCAUGCCCAAACAAGAACACGUUGUACUUGGAAAGGAAAAUUGAUAAGUUGCCCUCGCUCCAUCGCUUAUGUUGCAAUAUUGUCUGAGCAAGUGUCGUUGGACCUACACCCAUAAACGCUGGUUUUUUAGGAUUGUUGUAGACCGACUCCCAUCCUCUGCAAUGUAUUGCCAAUCCGGUGAUUACAUCCUCCACCGCGCAACCAUAUUUUACCCCAAUCUCAUCUCCCCACUGUGUGCCAUGUUCAUAUGUGCAGGCUGCUAAAGACUUGGCUUUCUCUUCAGUCUCAUCUAUGCUCUCUUGUAAUUUGUCCUUGAUUCCUGCAUUCCAGUCUUCCUGGUAGUCUUUUGUGAACUUCCUGCCGCAAAGGAUCUCCCUUCUGUGGAAACAUCCGGUGCCAAUAUACAGAGGGCCACCCAAACUGUCCAUACCACCCAUCUCCACCUAUUAGAUUGAGUGGCCAUGUUAGUGCCAAUAAUAUAAUAUAAAUGGAGAACAUGAGAAUGUAAUUCAAGUUACAAUUUGGCACUGCUGACCUCAUUGAUGACAUGGAGGGAGUUCCCAUAUAUAUCAUUCUUGCUCAGAUUGUUAUAGUUCUGAGGGUACUGCACAAAUCCAAUCUUGUGACCCAUUUCUUCGUCAAGGAAGAAGCACAGUGCAUCUCUGACCGCAUCGUUGUUGUUGGAGUACAUAUCACAGUCCACAUUCAUGAUGAUAGGGCUGUUGCUUAUCACUGAUGAUACCCUUAUCUGCAUUUCAGCGGAAAAACUGACACAUUCUAGUUAAGUCCAUUAUGACAAAAGCAUUACAACCUUUCAUGGAAUAAAAUUGUCAUAUAAUUCCCUCAAAAAAAUUGUCAUCUAAACACCAAUUCCACUCCAGUAAGCUAAAUUGGUGUGGUGUCAAGCUACUCUCAGCCUCUCACUGUCUCUUGUUAGGCGGAGGGCAAAAGAAUGGGAUCAGUGUAUCACCAAGUGUUUUUAAGUAUCAGCAAGUGCAUACAUUGGGUUAUGUUAUUAGCUAACUUCUUUGUAGCUUCUGUACAUUCAAAACCCAAAAUUUAUAGAAAUCACAGUAGGGAAACCUACUGUCUUCCUAAAAAAAUUGGGUGUAUGCAUAUGGUUUGUGAUGACCGAUAUACGUUUGAAUGCAUGUAUUGACCAUUGUGUUUUGCAUGCACCCAUGAAUAUGGUGCGCAUUUUGGAUUUUACUCUAUGUCUUUGGUGUCACUAGAAGAUGAAUAGACAAUACCUACUCAAAUUGGUGUGUAUAUAAGCAUAGUCCAAUUGCAACUUGGAUUUCAAUGCUGUGCCGCAGACAUUGAUUUGUUGCAGGUGCUACUCGUAUGAAUGCAUACUACAACCAGCACACCUCAGGAACUUGAGCCAUGUGACAGGAGGUAUGUAGUCCUUGUGCUCUGUGUAGCUUUAUAGACAUACCGCAAGUGACUGAUGGGGCAUCAAUCAACUUUCCUAUUGAUUCUGGCACACAUCUCUUUGCAACACAUUCAGUGACAAUAAGCCCAGGGACUAUUUUCCUAUUGAGGAUUUCAGACUGUACCAACAUAUUUUAAGCAUACAUUCACUUCAUUUGUUUCACAAAAGGCUGAAGAAUCGAGCUUCUUGCAUUUUCUCAACUUUCAUUCUCUCAAAUGCUUGGGAAAUUUCUAUUGUGGACUAGUGGUACAAUGAGGUGAAACUGAAUGAAGAAAGCAGAGCACAACAUUUUGGUUACUCUUGUCCAAUAAUGCAGUUUAUCAAGAACUUCGAAAUUAUGAAUUAGAAUAUGGUGCAAGUGCAACUAGUAUUUCGCCAAGAACCAGUAUUAGAAAAAGAGUUUACUAAUGAAAAUUAUGAAUCUUAUAGUAAACUGUCUACUUGGCGUGACGGGGCAAGGUUAGUAAGUUUACCAGAGCAUUCAUGGCCCCAGCUUUGAAGUUAUGGUGGUGCUGAGGCCUCUUCUCACGCGCCAUGUAAACAAGUGUUGGUAGCGCAUUUCCUUCGUUAUCAACUGCAUUUUGGUCCUUGCCAUCUAUCAGAAUCUAACAAAAGUAACAAGCUUAGAACUUCAAACUCCCAGAUACAAUGUUAUUUACUCCAAAAUCAUGGAAACCUUUACUACAUUCUAGAGGGCAUGAUAGCUACCUGAACAAUUGGCUGGUGAUUUUUUGAGGUAAUUUCUUGGUUCCAUUCAUAAAAUCCUUUAUGCUUUGCAUUGAUUUCUUCAGGAAUUUUGCCCGACAUGACAGCCGUGUCUAUUCGCUCAGUCAUUUCGUCAAACAUGUCCUGCCCAAAAGAUGCAGAAAUAGUAUCAGUUGCCAUGCCACAUGUUGAGCACUAUAUAUAAUAACCUUGUCAUCACCAGUGUGUCAAUUCAUUCCCUGUUCGAUAGCCAUUUGAUGCACGUGUUUAAAAAAAAGGAGAUGUUUGCAAUAUCUGCUUACCUUGAUCAAUGACCAUUCUUUUGGGGUGCACAGUUCUUGAUGCCCAUCUGACUCUGAGAAGUAAGCGGCUGGUGACCUUGGCUCAAUGUUAUAUCUCUUGCAGAAUGGCAGCCAGUGCUUUGCAAACAAGGAGGCCUCCCACAUGCCAUAGAAAGUGAGAAUCGAGCCUC